UACAGAGGGUGCAAACGUUGUUCGGAAUUACUGGGCGUAAAGCGCGUGUAGGCUGCUCGGAAAGUCGGAUGUGAAAGCCCUGGGCUUAACCUAGGAAGUGCAUUCGAAACUUCCGAGCUGGAGUUCUGGAGAGGAAGGCGGAAUUCUCGGUGUAGAGGUGAAAUUCGUAGAUAUCGAGAGGAACACCGGUGGCGAAGGCGGCCUUCUGGACAGUGACUGACGCUGAGACGCGAAAGCGUGGGGAGCAAACAGG
rnacentral:rRNA from 1 species